AAGGAGAUGUUCAACUUAGGCUCAACCUACAAUGUGGAGUGGGUGAGGAAAUAAAUGGCUUAACAAAGACUGAUGAGAUUUUAGCUCAAAGUGACUUCUAUUCAAUGAGACAUUGGUCGGUUUGAAAGGCUUAAACUACAUCCUAAAUUGACCUUCAUCAUUUCCUGAGUAUAAUCAAACUGACAUACCACAAACCGUGUAAUGGCAUUCCCAUUAGUCAACCAAAUUUGGGGAAUAAUGAGAUCAUGUAACGAGACAAUGUUGAAGGUAAUAUUAAGAAUAUGAUAACAUCUCUCAGAAAAAUGAGAAUGGCCCAAUUUCUCACAAGUGUAAAAGGUUGCAACUUUAAUUUGAGUGUUCUCUAAUUGUAUGAGUUCCACAUCCAUCAAACCACAUGAGCUUAGUUUACGUGUAUGAAAAGAAAAAAUUUCUGAGGUGUUUUAAUAUCUUACUCAGAUAGCACUAUUGACUCAAGCAAAAAUACAUUGUAAUCAAGCCAAAAUGCCAAAGAUGAAUUCAUGUAAAUUGGAAUGCAUUCAUGAUACCAAAUCUAAAUUCAUGCAAAUAGGAAUUCAAAAUUUCUGAGGUGUUUCAAUAUCAUAUUCAGAUAGCACUAUUGACUCAAGAAAAAAUACAUUGUAAUCAAGCCAAAAUACCAAAGCUAAAUUCAUGUAAAUUGAAAUACAUUCAUGAUAUCAAAUCUAAAUGCAUGCAAACAGGAAUGCAUAUAUUCAUGCUGAGCCCCCCCCCCAUGUUCAACUUAGGCUCAACCUCCAAUGUGGAGUGGGUGAGGAAAUAAAUGGCUUAACAAAGAUUGAUGAGAUUUUAGCUCAAAGUGACUUCUAUUCAAUGAGACAUUGGUCGGCUUGAAAGGCUUAAACUACAUCCUAAAUUGACCUUCAUCAUUUCCUGAGUAUAAUCAAACCAACAUACCACAAACCGUGUAAUGGCAUUCCCAUUAGUCAACCAAAUUUGGGGAAUAAUGAGAUCAUGUAACGAGACAAUGCUGAAGGUAAUAUUAAGAAUAUGAUAACAUCUCUCAAAAAAAUGAGAAUGGCCCAAUUGCUCACAAGUGUAAAAGGUUGCAACUUUAAUUUGAGUGUUCUCUAAUUGUAUGAGUUUCACAUCCAUCAAACCACAUGAGCUUAGUUUACGUGUAUGAAAAGAAAAAAUUUCUGAGGUGUUUCAAUAUCUUACUCAGAUAGCACUAUUGACUCAAG
rnacentral:lncRNA from 1 species